rnacentral:lncRNA from 1 species
GCUUAAUGUAGCUUCAUGUCAGGUGGUUGGCUUGUGCAAACGUGGCUAAUAUUUCAUAACAGAUCAACUCCUAGCAACCAUGAUCGGAUACAGCGUCUGAGGCAAGAAUUUCAGCAAGCAAAGCAAGAUGAAGAUGUAGAAGAUCGUCGGCGGACCUAUAGUUUUGAGCAACCCUGGCCGAACGCACGGCCGGCGACGCAGAGCGGGCGGCACUCGGUGUCCGUGGA